rnacentral:rRNA from 1 species
GGUUGAUCCUGCCAGUAGUCAUAUGCUUGUCUCAAAGAUUAAGCCAUGCAUGUCUAAGUAUAAGCAAUUUAUACAGUGAAACUGCGAAUGGCUCAUUAAAUCAGUUAUCGUUUAUUUGAUAUUUCUUACUACAUGGAUAACCGUGGUAAUUCUAGAGCUAAUACAUGCACGAAAGCCCCGACCUCUGGAAGGGGUGUAUUUAUUAGAUAAAAAACCAAUGCCAAUUUAUUGGCUCAGUGGUGAUUCAUAAUAACUUUGCGGAGCGUAUGGCCUUGAGCCGACGCCGUUUCAUU